rnacentral:tRNA from 1 species
GGUUCCGUAGCUCAGCUGGAUAGAGCAACGCCCUUCUAAGGCGUGGGCCGAGCGUUCGAAUCGCUCCGGAAUCA